GGCUACUCGCUCACAUCCCUGCUUACGUUCGCCUGGCACAGACCUAAUUUCCGCAUUCCCGAGUCCUCCCAGAUCGGGAUCACGUUUUUUAAAAUCGCGCUGAUGCAACGAUUUCCACUUUUUAAAAUCUACUCUCGACCCUCGGCUGACCAGAAGAAGGGACAUUUGUUGCACCUGGGAUCAGAGUCAGCUGCGGUCGCGGCCGAGUCUGACGCGAUGCCAGGACGAAUCCCAGAUCCCUCUGUGACAGCGGGCUCCCUGCCCAGCCUGGGCCCCCUGGCUGGGAUCUCUGCCACCACGCUGACGGACAAGCUCAAAUUCGGCGACUUCCACGAGUUCGGCGCGAUGCUGUCGCCUCUGCACUUCCUGGACGGUCUGGGGAGGAGGCCCCUGGUGAUCAAAACAGAGAGAGAUGAGGAAGACGACAGGAGGAAACAAAGGCGGGAAAAAAACAAAGUGGCCGCGGCGCGAUGUCGAAACAAGAAGAAGGAGAGAACGGAUUAUCUUCAAAAUGAAUCGGAGCGACUGGAGACGUUGAACUCCGACCUGAAGGCCCAGAUCGUGGAGCUGAAGCUGGAGCGACAGCAGCUGAUCCUCCUGCUGAACCGGCACCGGCCCACGUGCAUCGUCAGGACGGACAGCGCCAAGACGCCGGAGAGCGAGGCCGAGUGACGCCGCCGAAGGACGUGGAUCCUGCAGCUGAAUCGCAUAUUCUUUGUCUCUCUCUGGCUCUCACGUUUUUUCUUUCUUUGUGUUUUUUUUCUUCUUUUUGUUGUUGUCAUUGUGAUCAUCAGAGCUCCAGGCACUGAUCAUUUCUGACAGGGAGGUUUUCAUGGAUCUGCUGAGGGAACGCUUUGUUCCAGCAGUUUGAUAGAAAUUAUAACCGCGGAAAAGACGAGGUGAUUUAUUAUUUGUCUAAUGAAGCAUAUUUAAUGUUUGACCUUAUUCCCUUCACUUCAUGUCGUGUUCAUUUUGCAACCAUUUCAAAUGACUUAUUUUUACUUUAUCGUUUAUUAAAUGAACUAGGGGAACAAUAGUGUAAUAUAAUACUUUUAUGCGAUCAGAUUGGGUAUUUAAUUCACAUUUGACCCAGAUAAAAGUAUAAUAACAAGCUACUUACAGGAAAACCAGCUACCAACAAGGCCCACUUUGUUCUCUACUUGGAGAAAGAUUAUAAUCAGAAAAUAUGACGGAAAAAAGUUACAUCAUACAUUUUCAUAUGGAGUCAGUUUGUUUAUUUUACAUGUCAUGUGUUUGUCUUAUCUGUUGACUGACUGAC